rnacentral:SRP_RNA from 1 species
GCCGGGCGUGGUGGCUCACGCCUGUAAUCCAAGCACUUUGGAGGCCAAGGCGGGUGGAUCACCUGAGGUCAGGAGUUCAAGACCAGCCUGACCAACAUGGUGAAAACCGAUCUAUU